rnacentral:lncRNA from 1 species
GUGUGAGUUGGUUGCUCAGCAAGUCGGACAAACAUUGCAAACUGUAUGCAAAAUUUCACAAAGUUCAACAGUCUGUCAUUUGUGGAAAAUUAUUUACAAAACAAAUCUUGAGAUCAUAUAUGCAUUCUUUAUAAGUAAAACAAACUGCGAAAUAUAAAAGUUCCAGCUUGAAAUUCCACAUGUUGGAGAUGUAAGCCGGCGUCUG